rnacentral:rRNA from 1 species
UGCCCCAGUAACGGCGAGUGAAGCGGCAACAGCUCAAAUUUGAAAUCUGGCCUCCCUCGGUGGCCGAGUUGUAAUUUGCAGAGGGUGCUUUGGCGUCGGCAGCGGUCUAAGUUCCUUGGAACAGGACGUCACAGAGGGUGAGAAUCCCGUACGUGGUCGCCUGCCUUCGCCGUGUAAAGCCCCUUCGACGAGUCGAGUUGUUUGGGAAUGCAGCUCUAAAUGGGAGGUAAAUUUCUUCUAAAGCUAAAUACCGGCCAGAGACCGAUAGCGCACAAGUAGAGUGAUCGAAAGAUGAAAAGCACUUUGGAAAGAGAGUCAAACAGCACGUGAAAUUGUUGAAAGGGAAGCGCUUGCCGCCAGACUUGCCCGCAGUUGCUCAUCGGAACUUCUGCUCCGAGCACUCUUCUGCGGGCAGGCCAGCAUCAGUUUGGGCGACCGGAUAAAGGCCUCUGUCAUGUAUCUUCCUUCGGGAUGACCUUAUAGGGGAGGCGCAAUGCGGCCAGCCCGGACUGAGGUCCGCGCAUCUGCUAGGAUGCUGGCGUAAUGGCUGAAGCGGCCCGUCUUGAAACACGGACCAAGGAGUCUAACAUCUAUGCGAGUGUUUGGGUGUCAAGCCCGGGCGCGCAAUGAAAGUGAACGGAGGUGGGAACCCUUGGGUGCACCAUCGACCGAUCCUGAUGUCUUCGGAUGGAUUUGAGUAAGAGCAUAGCUGUUGGGACCCGAAAGAUGGUGAACUAUGCUUGAAUAGGGUGAAGCCAGAGGAAACUCUGGUGGAGGCUCGCAGCGGUUCUGACGUGCAAAUCGAUCGUCAAAUUUGGGCAUAGGGGCGAAAGAC